UCUAGAUGGUAAAGAAUCUGCCUGCAAUGCAGGAGACCCAGGUUCAAUCCCUGG
rnacentral:tRNA from 1 species